UCCACCCCAGCCCGCGACCUGAACCAGCCCAAGACCCCCCUCUAACCCCUUGCUCUCAAAAACACAGAACCAUCUCCAUCUUCGCAAAAAAGAACUCAGUCGCACCUCAUCUGCAGAAAACACACUCUCGUAUUCAGAGAAGUCAUUCAUCUCUCACCUGAUUCUCACCCAUUUCUCACUUCACACACACACACACACACAAUAGCAGCCUGAAAUUCAAAACGAAAAAAUUCAAAAAAAAACUUAGGUAUGGAAAUACUGAAAACAAUUCAUAAGCUGUAGCUAUUUAGAGAGCUGUAGUUUUCUCUUGCAUUUCUGGGUUUCGAAGUGGAUUCAGCUUGGAUUUUCUGCUGUUUGUUGCUGUUCCUCCUUCAAUUAAUAGCUGAACCCCAAUUUGAUGUUAUUUCUGGCCUUUAUUUGGCUAUUUUAAAGUCUUACUACUGCUUUCCAGUGAUAUCUGAAGAAGUUAUUUGUUAGUUAAAGUUAGAGAAGAUGGCGAAGGUUGCUGCUGCGGGUCCCGUACAUCCAUCAAAUGCACUUAAAUUUGGUGGGGGUGGUGGUUCUAAGGUCACUGCCACCACAGUGAAACGAAAAACUCCAUCUGAGUUACGCGGAGAGCAAUUGAAGAGAAAGAAUACUACACAACCCGUGGAUGAAUCAUCAGCCCCAAUUGGUGGCUCUAUGAGCAAUGGUGUUUUCCCGGGGUCC